AGUGAGAUGGCCGAAAUUUAAGCAAUAAAUUGUAAAUUUAUUUAUGGGGUUGUACCUCUCUUACUA
rnacentral:tRNA from 1 species